UUUGUCUGAGUACUCUGACGAAAACAUGAUGGACCCAUACAACCUCGCCAUCUGUUUUGGACCAACGCUUCUGCCGAUUCCAUCGGACCGCGACCAAGUCUCGUACCAAGGAAAUGUCCACGAGGUCAUCAAAACCAUCAUCGUGCACCACGAGGAGAUUUUCACGUUUGAGGGGGGAGAGGUCUAUGAGAAAUGUAUCAUAGGCGAUCCAGAUGGAGAGAGUUAUAACGAUAUCACGGACACGGAGGCCGACCCCAGCUCUGUGGCCAGCGACGAGGAUGAAGAUGAGGAUGAUGCUCAAAUCUUUGAGGCUGUAGCGCUGUACGACUUUGAGGGCCGGACAGGGAGGGAGCUGUCCUUCAAGAAACACGACACCCUGCUAGUGUACCACCGCGUGUCUCAGGACUGGUGGGAGGGGCUGUACCAGGGGAGGGAGGGGCUGAUUCCCGACCGCUACAUCUGCCUCAAACACCCUCCUGAGGAGCGGAGGAGUGUAACAGACGAGGACAGUGUCAGCCGCUCCUCGACCUUGAACAAGGUCAGUGCCUCGCAGCUCCCCACCAUCCUUGCUGAGACUGACCAACCCGAACAACCACCCCCAGAGUCUUCUUCCAAGGACAGUGUACCCGAGAAACCCUCCCCCCGCGUGACCCCCUCAGGAACCCCCCGGUCCUCAGUGGGAUCCCUAGAGACCCCUAUUCUUCCUGCAGCCAGACAAAUGAGUUCUCCUAAACUAGAGGUGAAAAGACAGAAGGACCCAUUAAAAAUCGUAGAGGAAGAGGAAGUAAAGCUACGAGCGACGGACCACGACGAGAUCAGUGCUGACAUUGACACUGCUCUGGCUAAAGUAGCUUCUGAUCUCCAUUCUCUGGAGAUGCAGCAGAGAUCAGACAAACGUAUGAGUCUACCGACCAUCAAACACACCCCCAAACAUACCCCAGACCUAGUUCUGGAUCUCCCCACAGAAGGUGCUAAUGUGUCCCCACAGGAACUCAGUGAGCCAGACAGUCCAACCACCACAGCGGACACGUUUGCUCAGUCUAAUCAGGGCACAAUGAAGAAGGCUAACUCCAUGCCAAGGAAUAUUUCGGGUCAGUUUUUGGAGGCAGACCAAGGUGGCUCAGCUUUCUACACAGGACAGGGGAUGGUGGGAUCAGUUCAUUGGAAGGAAGAGGGGAGGGAGUGCAAGAGAAGGCUCCAACAAGGAGUACCCCCUUAUGUCAUCAUCUAUGACAUCAUCACUGACCUCAUCAGAAAAGACAUCAUCUAUGACCUCAUCGAUGACAUCAUCAAUGACAUCGUCAAUCUCUGUCCCACCUGUGGUUCCCCCUGGUGGUGUGACAGGAUAUAAACAACCACCCCCUGUAGCCGAAAAACCAAAGCUUCCUCCCAAGGUCAAACCCCAGGUCAUGAAGAAACCCUCGAGGUCUCCAGAGGUACAGAGGCGACACGCCCCACAACCAGCUUCCACUUUAGAUUCCAAACGGUGAUAAGUGAAAGUCAGACAGUGUUAAACUGAAAGUAGACGUGUGAAAUGUAUGUCUAUUUGUGUACUAAGGAAUAUUUUUAUUCAGAAUUCAGAAGUGAAUGGAUUUUUAUUUCCUUAUGUAAACACACAGGUGCAAUUGUACAAAAAGUUUUACAAUAGUUAAUAUUACGGUCGUGUGAUUCUUCAGUGCAAUAUUAUACUUCAUGUGUCUGGGAAAACUUUGUUAGAACUUGAUAGAAAAGUUAAUGUUAUUUUAUUGUGCAUCUGUUGCUGCUGUUUUUAUUGAGCUGAAUCAUUGUCUGUCUCACUUAGACAGAACCGGUAUCCUCUAAUGUCAAAGAGAAAUGUUAUAGUUUUAAAACUUCAUGCUCAAAACUUUAAGAUAUCUCAAUUCAUCCAAUUUUUAUAGCAUUCCUUGAUAAACAUUUGUCAUAUGAUAUUUUAGCCAAGUUAAUCAUAGUAUUAUGCUAGUGAACAAUUUUGUAUAAUCUGACAGCAUGUCAGACAUUUCUCAUCAAUUUACAAGUAAUUAUUCUUUAUUGAGUGACCCCUCCUCCCUUUCUACUUUUCUCAUGCAUUUGAUCUCUUCAUUCUUUAAACUUUCAGCUUUUGAUGAUUAUUUCAUGUACUUUUUCCGCUAUGUUAACAUAAAGAUGAUUUUACAUAUUUAAGGCACUCUGGCAUAAUACAGAAAAUGUCUGUGAUAAGCUGUCUCCGCGCUUCCCCCCCCCCAUACACAACUACAGGGUUGUACAAAAGUUGAUCCGCUGGAUACAAAACAACCACUUAUUCCGCAAUAUUGUCAUUCCUAAAUCAGUUUGAAGGUGCAAUGACAUAUCCAUGAUUGUUAGUUGAGUUAGGAAUUGUCUAAUUGUGAAUUUCUUAGUUCUGCAUUCAACCUCAAAAGGUUACUGAUAGUCCUCUUACUUGGAUAAAUGUGAACCAAAAUUUUUCAUGAUAGAUUGAACGCUAUAUAAUAAUUCAUGUACACAUUCUUAUGUAUUAUAAAGGUUAUGUAUUUAAACAGGAACUCAACCAUUUCUUGAUAGAUGACCUUGGACAAAAAUUAAGGUCGUUUGCAAAUAUUGCCAAAACACAAAGGUGGAGUAGUGUAUCCGGAAACCCUUCAAGAGAUUAUUUUUGUACAUGUCUGUAGAAACAGUAAACCAGUAUUGCUGAUCACAUUGAGAGAGAGAGAGAGAGAGAGGACGAUUAAUUCAUCCACACAUUGACUGGUAGAUUAAUUCAUCCACACAUUGACUGGUAGAUUAAGUCAUCCACACAUUGACUUAACAUUGUGCAUUAUUGACUAAGGUGCUAACUCCGUUCUCACAUCUCCGGAACAGGUAGAGAGGGCUCAAUGUUUGUUAGUAGUUUUGUUUUAUGGGUUGAUGUACUUAGUACUAAGUACUUAUUCUUUAGUAUGUGUUCUCUGAACAGCAAGAGGUGUAUCAUUUCCAUGUGUUCAACUAAUCAGAGAGUGAGAGUGAGAGUGUUGCCCUCCGAUCCAGCAGAAUGAAUCAUGGGAUUCAUCUGUCUGGUCAGGAGUUGUUUACUCAUUAUUUAUGCAGAUCUGAUUUUCAAAACAAUCGAAAAACUUCCAUUUAUAUGAGGCUUCAUAUUGUAAGUACAAAAAAAUUCAUUAAAUACUUUAAACAGC
rnacentral:misc_RNA from 1 species